CCCUUAGAUGUCCGGGGCCGCACGCGCGCUACACUGAAGGAAUCAGCGUGGCUUUCUCCCUGACACGAAAGGGUUGGGAAACCCGUUGAAUCUCCUUCGUGAUAGGGAUUGGGGCUUGAAAUUGUUCCCCAUGAACGAGGAAUUCCCAGUAAGCGCGAGUCAUAAGCUCGCGUUGAUUACGUCCCUGCCCUUUGUACACACCGCCCGUCGCUACUACCGAUUGAACGGUUUAGUGAGGGCCUCGGAUUGGUCUCGGCCCGCUCUUUACCGGGCGGCGCCGUUGGUCGAGAAGACGCUCGAACUUGAUCGUUUAGAGGAAGUAAAAGUCGUAACA
rnacentral:rRNA from 1 species